CCUACGGGUGGCUGCAGUGAGGAAUAUUGGUCAAUGGGCGCGAGCCUGAACCAGCCAAGUAGCGUGAAGGAUGACUGCCCUACGGGUUGUAAACUUCUUUUAUAAAGGAAUAAAGUGAGGCACGUGUGCCUUUCUGUAUGUACUUUAUGAAUAAGGAUCGGCUAACUCCGUGCCAGCAGCCGCGGUAAUACGGAGGAUCCGAGCGUUAUCCGGAUUUAUUGGGUUUAAAGGGAGCGUAGAUGGGUUGUUAAGUCAGUUGUGAAAGUUUGCGGCUCAACCGUAAAAUUGCAGUUGAUACUGGCAGCCUUGAGUACAGUUGAGGUAGGCGGAAUUCGUGGUGUAGCGGUGAAAUGCUUAGAUAUCACGAAGAACUCCGAUUGCGAAGGCAGCUUACUGGACUGUAACUGACGUUGAGGCUCGAAAGCGUGGGUAGCAAACAGGAUUAGAUACCCCUGUAGUC
rnacentral:rRNA from 1 species